UACGUAGGUGGCAAGCGUUAUCCGGAAUUAUUGGGCGUAAAGAGCGCGCAGGUGGUUAAUUAAGUCUGAUGUGAAAGCCCACGGCUUAACCGUGGAGGGUCAUUGGAAGCUGGUUGACUUGAGUGCAGAAGAGGGAAGUGGAAUUCCAUGUGUAGCGGUGAAAUGCGUAGAGAUAUGGAGGAACACCAGUGGCGAAGGCGGCUUCCUGGUCUGCAACUGACACUGAGGCGCGAAAGCGUGGGGAGCAAACAGG
rnacentral:rRNA from 1 species